GGCGGGCCAGGGUGCUCUUGGAAAAGCAGGAGUGCCUGUCCUCGCCUAGGUCCCUGGGGCUAGAGGCCUAGUCACGGACUCUGCCCUUUCUACCCCGCGCUUUCCUUCCCGGCUUCCGUAUCAUUUAAAGGGACCGUGCUCUUCCUUUCCCAGCACUCCGGCUUGAGUGUUAAAUGGCCAGCAGGAAUUAUCCACUAGAGAAGCGGAAGGGAGAGAAUGGAAAUGGCCGCAUGCAGCUCCUCUCCCUCAGACAGCUCGGGGCUCAGCGGAAUGAGCACAGUCUGCAGGACAAGUGCGGAGGACUUCAGUCCCCUCUACUGUAUAUUGGCUUUAGGACUCAAGUUGUCCCUGAAAUAGAGGAAGGUGUUUUCUAGGGUAGUGGUAAUUAUCACAGUCAAAAAAGUAGGCGAGAGCACUUAGGAAAACUGUGCGGAGAUCGGCUGCUGAUGUGUAAAUACUGCUGAAGCUGCUUAUUCAAGAUUAGAAAACCUGAGACCCAGACGGGGGAAACUGCUUUCCAUGGUUAAUCGUCAACAACUGGCCAGGAUGGGACAGAAGCCCAUACAUAGCCUUCAUUCCAGGGCUCAGAACAAAAAGAAGGCAGUGGCCUGGGCUGCACCUGAGCUUGGCUUCACAUAGGAGGGAUUCUGGAACGCAGGAUCCUGACAACGACCUCAAGGUUAGAAUGAAUGCCAAAGAUGCCUUUUUUGUGUGUGCUUUUCUUUUUUAAAUAAAAUACAAAUUGCUUAUUUCAUCUGUAAAAUGGGGAGUAUCUCACAAACUCACAAUUGUGGUAUGAGGACUGAAAUGAUCACCUGGAGUGGCGAUCCUAACCUCCAACUUUCCCUAAGAAAGAAUUCCAUUUUGUGCAUAAAAAUUCAUGCUUGUAACUAGUGUGUUUAUCCAAAAUGAGACCAAGAGAAGAUUAUUUUCCUCCAAUAGUGCAAGCUAAUAAAUAAGACACAUUUUAAAGCUGUUUCUAAUUAAUAAAAGCAUUAUAUCCAUUAAA
rnacentral:lncRNA from 1 species